UGGGGUAUCGUCAAGUGGUAAGACACCGGGUUUUGGUCUCGGCAUUCGGAGGUUCGAAUCCUUCUACCCCAA
rnacentral:tRNA from 1 species